UGGGCUGUAGCUCAGCGGCAGAGCUCUUGCCUAGCAUGCAUGAGGAACUGGGUUUGAUCCUCAGCACAACAU
rnacentral:tRNA from 1 species